rnacentral:rRNA from 1 species
AUUGAACGCUGGCGGCAUGCUUUACACAUGCAAGUCGAACGGUAACAGGGUGCUUGCACCGCUGACGAGUGGCGAACGGGUGAGUAAUGCGUCGGAACGUGCCGAGUAGUGGGGGAUAACGCAGCGAAAGUUGUGCUAAUACCGCAUACGUACUGAGGUAGAAAGUGGGGGACCUUCGGGCCUCACGCUAUUCGAGCGGCCGACGUCUGAUUAGCUAGUAGGUGAGGUAAAGGCUAACCUAGGCGACGAUCAGUAGCGGGUCUGAGAGGAUGAUCCGCCACACUGGGACUGAGACACGGCCCAGACUCCUACGGGAGGCAGCAGUGGGGAAUUUUGGACAAUGGGCGAAAGCCUGAUCCAGCCAUGCCGCGUGUCUGAAGAAGGCCUUCGGGUUGUAAAGGACUUUUGUCGGGGAGGAAAUCCCCAGCGCUAAUACCGCUGGGGGAUGACAGUACCUGAAGAAUAAGCACCGGCUAACUACGUGCCAGCAGCCGCGGUAACAC